GUGCUCACUUUAGCAGCACAUAUUCUAAAAUUGGAAUGACAGAGAAGAUUAGCAUAGAGGAUGACAUGCAAAUUCAUGAAGAGUUGCAUAUUUUU
rnacentral:snRNA from 1 species